AAUAAACGAAUUUUUGUGUAUUCGGAUAGAAUUUUUGACUAUUCGUCUUAUUUGAAAAUUUUUUAUGGUUAAUAUUUUUAUUGUUACUACAUGAUGAAACAUAAAUAGUAUUUUACCUACGACUAAUUUUUUUAAAAAUUUUUAAUAAUUUUUCAAAUAAGAUGGAUGGUCCAAAGCUUUUCUUUUCUUGGACGAAGUAGUG
rnacentral:pre_miRNA from 1 species